GAUGAACGCUAGCGGCAGGCCUAAUACAUGCAAGUCGAACGGUGUCUUCGGACAUAGUGGCGCACGGGUGCGUAACACGUAUGCAACCUACCUUACAUUGGGGGAUAGCCUUUCGAAAGGGAGAUUAAUACCGCAUAAGACAGUAGCUGGGCAUCCAGCAGCUGUUAAAGAUUUAUCGAUGUAAGCUGGGCAUGCGUCCAAUUAGCUAGUUGGUGAGGUAACGGCUCACCAAGGCAAUGAUUGGUAGGGGAACUGAGAGGUCAAUCCCCCACACUGGCACUGAGAUACGGGCCAGACUCCUACGGGAGGCAGCAGUAGGGAAUAUUGGGCAAUGGACGCAAGUCUGACCCAGCCAUGCCGCGUGCAGGAUGAAGGCGUUAUGCGUUGUAAACUGCUUUUAUAUAGGAAGAAGCGACUCUUGCGAGAGGCAUUGACGGUACUGUAUGAAUAAGCACCGGCUAACUCCGUGCCAGCAGCCGCCGUAAGAC
rnacentral:rRNA from 1 species